UACGUAGGGACCAAGCGUUGUUCGGAUUUACUGGGCGUAAAGGGCGCGUAGGCGGCAUGACAAGUCACUUGUGAAAUCUCUGGGCUUAACCCAGAACGGCCAAGUGAUACUGUCGCGCUAGAGUGCGGAAGGGGCAAUCGGAAUUCUCGGUGUAGCGGUGAAAUGCGUAGAUAUCGAGAGGAACACCUGAGGUGAAGACGGGUUGCUGGGCCGACACUGACGCUGAGGUGCGAAAGCGUGGGGAGCAAACAGG
rnacentral:rRNA from 1 species